rnacentral:pre_miRNA from 1 species
UAUUCUUGCCCACAGCGAGCUCACAGUCUAGAAGGGACUUAUGUACAUUUGUAUUGUCUGUCUACUCUUCUAGACUGUAAGCUCGUUGUGGGCAGAGAAU